AGAAUAUUAGACCCAGGAUACUACUGCUGCUGCUGUUGGUUCAACCAGUAGAACAUUAGACCCAGGAUACUACUGCUGUUGCUGUUGGAUCAACCAGCAGAACAUUAGACCCAGGAUACUAAUGCUGUUGCUGUUGGUACAACCAGCAGAACAUUAGACCCAGGAUACUACUGCUGCUGCUGUUGGUUCAACCAGCAGAACAUUAGACCCAGGGUACUACUACUGCUGCUGUUGGUUCAACCAGUAGAACAUUAGACGUACUACUGCUGCUGUUGUUGGUUCAACCAGCGGAACAUUAGACCCAGGAUACUACUGCUGCUGCUGUUGGUACAACCAGCAGAACAUUAGACCCAGGGUACUACUACUGCUGCUGUUGGUUCAACCAGUAGAACAUUAGACGUACUACUGCUGCUGUUGUUGGUUCAACCAGCGGAACAUUAGACCCAGGAUACUACUGCUGUUGCUCUUGGUUCAACCAGCGGAACAUUAGACCCAGGAUACUACUGCUGUUGCUGUUGGUUCAACCAGCGGAACAUUCGGCCCAGGAUACUACUGCUGCUGCUGUUGGUACAACCAGCAGCAUAUUAGACCCAGGAUACUGCUGCUGCUGCUGUUGAUUCAACCAGUAGAACAUUAGACCCAGGAUACUACUGCUGCUGCUGUUGGUUCAACCAGUAGAACAUUAGACCCAGGAUACUACUGCUGUUGCUGUUGAUUCAACCAGUGGAACAUUAGACCCAGGAUACUACCGCUGCUGCUGUUGAUUCAACCAGUGGAACAUUAGACCCAGGAUACUACCGCUGCUGCUGUUGGUUCAACCCGCAGAAUAUUAGACCCAGGAUACUACUGCUGCUGCUGUUGGUUCAACCAGCGGAACAUUAGACUCAGGAUACUACUGCUGCUGCUGUUGGUUCAACCAGCAGAAUAUUAGACCCAGGAUACUACUGCUGCUGCUGUUGGUUCAACCAGCGGAACAUUCGACCCAGGAUAUACCAUCAAAGGGUAAAUUGACAAGAUGGGGUAAAAUGCAUUAUGGAGAAUGGUCUAUAGAAAAGGAUUUGAUUAAAAUAUAAUAAAAUAGAUUCGAUUAUACUGUAAAUUAAUAGAGCAACUCAAAGGAACUUGGAGCUAAUUCAUUACCAAUGCUUUGAGACAUUUCUCCUGAUGAAUUAAUUAAUUAAUGACAUUUUUAUUUUCGUGUCAAAUCGCCAAUUGGCAACUCAUCCCUUAUGGGAUUAAUUGACACAUAAACAAAUAUUACAACAAUUCACUAUGGUAAUUAAAUUAUCAUUAUUCUUCCGGUGUUCUCUGCAUUGUGCAUCACAUAAAGAGUGAAAAAAAAGUAAGGUAAAAAUCACUACAUAAUAGUAAAUUACAUCCCCAGAGCAGUAAAAUAAUAUACAUACAUAAAUAAAAAGAAAAAUAAAUACAGAAUUUUUUUUAAAAAAGAAACAGAAGUCUGGCACAAAGAGAAGAUUCAUAUGGGAGACAAUACACAAUCUACAUACACACGCCACUAACCACAUAGUAGCAAAAUCUUUUUUGGGGUUAUGAUUUAAUUAUAGGUAGCCUUUUUAAAAUUUUAUUACAGGCUUUAUUUAAAUAUUCCGCAAACGGAAUAUUUACACUGUACACUGAUAGCCAUAAACAGCCAUUAUUUCAGUCCUACAGUACCAGAACGUUUAAUAGAUCUUAUUGCUACUCCUCUAGCCUCUGUUGAAACUCCAGACCUUCAUAAAACAUUCAUCCACCGUGACACCAAGGUCAGUAGAAUUAAUAAGGGAAGGGUGAAACUGUUUAUCCAAGUGUGGCUUCAUGUCACAUGGACUCCUCAGGAAUCUAAGUCUGUUUCCCAAAUGUCACCCUAUUCCCUAUAUACUGCAUUACUUUAGACCAAGGGCCUAGGACCCAUUGGGCUCUGGUCAAAAGUAGUGCACUAUAAAUGAAAUAGGUUUCCAUUUGGGAUGCACACAAACUCUUCUUGGUUAGUGUUUCAUAUAACAUUACUCUAAUCUGAUUUCUGUAAUUUACUGGAAUGGUGGUGGAUGGGCGGGGGGUGGGGGUCUAUGUGUGAUGUUGCCUCAACACAUUUGAAUAGUGAAUGCUAUCCAUGACAGGUAUGAGACUAGCAAACGCAAACAGCCAAGAUGUAAUAAUAAGACAACUGAACAAGUGAGAUUGAAAGUGAACUGGGCCAGGGUGUAAGGUGAUAUCUGUCAGGGUGUAAGGUGAGAUCUGUCAGGGUGUAAGGUGAUAACUGUUAGGGUGUAAGGUGAUAUCUGUCAGCGUGCAACCCUCUGCUUUGAACUUGAUUUAUCACACAGGUUUACAAACAGCAAGGCUGUUCCCUCCAGCAGGACGGAGCCAGCACCCUGGUGACACGGUGAUUGGCGAGGGAGAUAAGUCAAGCUUUAUGUCGUCCUGCAACGUUAAAGCAGGGAGAUACCAGGGUCCUCGUAACGGGUCAGCGUCCCAAAUGGCAGAUGGGUUUCCUGCAGGGAUCAGGGUACAGACACAUGACACUGUGGUAUUAUGUCUAAGAGGUUUUGGGUUGUUUAACGAGACUGAACACUUUCAACUCUCAACUUCUGUGACCCCCCGGAUUAGUUUCACAAACAUUUCAAUCUAAUAUAGAUGAUACAGUUAUCGGGUCAUCGUACAUAGAUGUUCAGUAGUUAAAACAGCCUUCAAUGUCUUUAAUAUUGUAAAACCAAAUCUUGUUACAAAACUUUUUGAAGAUAACUUCUCAUCAAGCACCAAACAUUAAUAUUUGCAAUAAAAUGUGCCAACAUACAUUUUCUCUAAAUAAAUACAAGAAAAGCAAAAAUGGGUAUUUACAAACUACACCAUAAUCAAAAAAAUACUUGUAAAACAUAACAUCUAUAAAUAUACUCCUAAAAAGAAAGUGUGUGCAAUUUCACUUUUGUAACUAGUGAUCAUCCACCCAUUAUUUUGUGGAUAUCAAUUCCUAAAUAUUGCAUCAUUGCAAACUUGUCCAUGUUAGCUUCAGUAUGACUGUUGUUUGUGUCAUAAAGUUCUCCAUGCUAUUCUAUCAUGUAGUAUCAUUUUGCAUGUAUGAGUAUCACAUCAGUAUUCCACACGGUCUCAUCUGGAGAAGUUCAUUGAUGUGGGCCUAUUUGUUGUGAGGAACUGUGGUCCUCUCCAGCCCUGUUUAGUCCAGAAGCAGAUACACCAGGACAUCCAUUGGUAGAUUCAGUCGGACCUCAAUGGAAACUUGCAGUCAGGAUCAUAGCUCUUACACCAUCCAAUCAACUGUUGUUUGUUUCUUGUUGUUGUUGUUGUUGUUGUUGUCAGGGUCACCUGACCAGGUGGCAGAUGAUGAGGACUAUAUCCUGUGCAGUGUCAUCUUGGCAGAGGGACACGGUUCUGGGGCCAUGUGUGAUGAGUCAGCCUGUUGACGACCUGCUUCACAAACGCCCCUGCUGGGAAAUGAGGACAGAGAUGCUGGUGACUCAUAGAUACUAGAACACUAAAGCCUGGCUUGUCGCCCUAACGACCACUCAAAACAAAGAACAAAAGCUAAAACGUCCCCCCAAAAAUAAUGGUAAGAACUACACUGGAAGACACUUCCAAUCC
rnacentral:lncRNA from 1 species